rnacentral:tRNA from 1 species
GUCCCCGUAGCUCAACGGAUAGAGCGCUUCCCUGCGAAGGAAGAGGUUGCAGGUUCGAUUCCUGCCGAGGACACCA